GGAAUGCGCUGAUGCUGCAGCGGAGGUGGGAAUUUUGCAUAGUGAGCUAAGUUCGCUUCGUGGGAAUAGGGACAACAGUGGUUGUAUAGUGCAUUCUUGUCCAGCAAUUUGGAAGAAAACUUUAUCUCCAAGGGAGCCUUUCAGAUUUUUCAGUUACAGGGCGAGAGUUAAUAAUAAGCUGGCCAAACCAUCUUCUUUACGUGGGCUCAGGGGUUUAAUUUUUGCAAUUCUCGGAUAUAAGUCCUUGUCACGUGAGAAAGGGCAAUCGCCAUGUUCAAGUACGUGUGAGCCAGAUUUGACAUCAGAGAAAAUGUUGAUAGAGAUUAUGGCCUCUCCACUAACAUAACAUAACCAUUAUUGAU
rnacentral:misc_RNA from 1 species